UCGCUACUACCGAUUGAAUGGCUUAGUGAGCUCUCUGGACUGCUGUAUUGCGUUGGCAACUUCGCAGUAUGUGCGGGAAGGAGAUCAAACUUGAUCAUUUAGAGGAAGUAA
rnacentral:rRNA from 1 species